UACGUAGGGUGCAAGCGUUAAUCGGAAUUACUGGGCGUAAAGCGUGCGCAGGCGGUUUUGUAAGUCUGUCGUGAAAUCCCCGGGCUCAACCUGGGAAUGGCGAUGGAGACUGCAAGGCUGGAGUACGGCAGAGGGGGAUGGAAUUCCGCGUGUAGCAGUGAAAUGCGUAGAUAUGCGGAGGAACACCGAUGGCGAAGGCAAUCCCCUGGACCUGUACUGACGCUCAUGCACGAAAGCGUGGGGAGCAAACAGG
rnacentral:rRNA from 1 species